rnacentral:lncRNA from 1 species
CCUGUAAAAUCCCCUCCAUUGUUUCCUAAUCCAUAUGGACUAGGUGGAAAAUAAACUAAUUCCUAUCUCAAUCUGAAACGACCUGAAUUCCUAUUCCUGAGAAUUCUAAGUCUACGCACCUUCCUGAUAGUCCAGAAAGGUUAUCACGAACGAAUCUCUCUGUUUCAGGUAGUACAAAUUCAUACCAACACAGAAGUAUAGAGUAACAACAGAGUAAUAAUAUCAUAAAUAUCAAGUACAGCACUUCGGCACGUGCCGAUACAAGUCCAUUAGGGCUAAAUCAUGAAAGAUAAAACAUCUACGCAGCGAAAAUAUGAGCUAUGGCAAACACCAUCUCCAGAGGUGACUUGAGCGAGGGACCAUCCCUAGUCUUCACAUCCGUCAUUGUUGAAGUCGUAGUCGGGCUUCGACCAUAAAAAGCCACCAUCUACCCGAGAGGCGGGUAGACCAUGUCAACUCCUAAUAGCAACAAGCGGGGGAAUAAAACUAUAUGCAUGGAUAAACCUAUAUAUGGUUGUAGAGGUUUAUGCAGUAGCCGCAGCAAUCAAGGAUGCAUCAAAGCAAUAUCAUCUCCGAGGUCAACACCUCAUAUGAAGGAAGUCGUCACAAACUACCACAUACUUCACCCAAGAAUCCAGUAUCCAAACACACUAGGCGAUGUGAGAGCUCCCUCCCCUCACAUAUCAAUGGCAAACGCCAACCUAUCUGGAAAAAAAGGAGGUAGAAGAAUAGUAUAAGUCUAGUCAGAAGUAGCGGUAGUCAACAGUACUAUCCAUAACCAGUGGACACGCUGUAGAAGUUAUACAUCUGUACCUGCACGGAUGGAGCCUAAACAGAGAUCAGCCGUCCAAACCCUGCCUAAUGGCUGACUCUCCUAUUUCCUUGAGUCUGGAACUAUUCUCAACUGCAGUGCACGCCGUCACCAGUUGAAGACCUCGAAGCUGUGAAACCUACCCACGCGGAGGUGCAGUCUGGUUGAAGCAGGUCAACGCCUCGAACUCCUUACACUGAUCCUCCAAUCCGCCUACAAACUUAGCGCUAUCCACCACUAGUCUUGAACCAAACCCCACCCGUAACAAGACAAACAGUACGUACGUAAUAGAUACUGUGACUGGUGGUAAACUAACUUGGUCCUUAGGGGCCGAGAGCACCUACAACGUACAAGUACACCACCUGCUCCUUAGUGUCAAACAAGGUACCGCCACAAGCACAGGGGGUGGAGAGAGUGCAAAAUACUCUCUCCUAGUAAGGCACUCCUCAGUACCAACUGCGGCUCGCUCCCGCCAAAAAUACGUCAAGGGAUCACACUCAUCCUAAACACACACGAGAGUGUAUAAGGAAUCCCAUCACCAAAUUCAUAGCACAUGCCCAUCCAUAACUCAAAAGCAUGCAUAUGGAUAUAGAUAAAGUGGACUAGCUAGGGGUAGAGGUCUGUAGGUAACAAGGAAAAUAGGAUAAACAAUUAUCAAGGCAGGACCAGAAAUAGAAUCAUAAGGUAUACAAACAAUCAUUAUCCAAGCAUCAUAAAUAAAACACUAGCAACUAAGUAUGUAUAGGAUCUAUAUGAUUGGGAGUGACAUGACACCUUAUUCAUUGUCGUCGAAGUCCUUGGUGGUGAACUCAAGGUUGAAGGUCUUCUUAGUCGUCGCAGCUCGAGACUUCAAAUAGGUCUACAACAUACGCGAUAUGCGACACGGAAAUAAAUAACACGCAUUACAUCUAAAGCAAAAACACCAAUAACUCCAAUUAGAAGAACCAAAUAACAUCAAACUAGCUACAAACAGCACCAGUUCAUUUAUAGAAAAUUAAUGAAACAUAUUUCAUAAUUUUCUGAGCUAAUAUGAAUUAGUUACGACUCAACAAGGAAAUAAAGAAGAUUAAUUUAUUUUAAUACUUUAGAAAACCAUUGGAACAUGUGUUAGGCUUCAGGUUAGUCACGUGGCAGCCUCUGGUGGUGCCACAUGUUAAGGUGAUGUCAGUAUGACCUGUCAAAGGUUGGUCAAAGAGGUAAGCCCCACUGGCUAGAAGUGGGCCCACAAGCUGACGGGGCAUGCAUACAUGCCCCGCAGCACACCCUUGGGUUAGCCGAGAUCCGGUGUGGUCGUGGCUUAGCACGGUGUGGCUGAUCAUGCGGCUUGUGAGGCUGUGCAGGGCUGUGCGCUAGGUGUUCGAGGAAAAGCCCACAAGGCGGCAACGGCGCGAACAUGCGUGUGUAGCAGCGGCAGCACAACAACGGUGGUGGCGUGAUGAUGCGGCAGUGGCUAAAGGCUUAGGGGGUGUUUGGAUACUGGAUGCUAAACUUUAGCAGUGUCACAUCGGAUGUUCGGAUGCUAAUUAGAAGGACUAAACAUGAGCUAGUUACAAAACUAAUUGCAGAACCCCUGUGCUAAUUCGCGAGACGAAUCUAUUAAGCCUAAUUAAUCCAUCAUUAGCAAAUGAUUACUGUAGCACCACAUUUUCAAAUCAUGGACUAAUUAGGUUUAAUAGAUUCGUCUCGCGAAUUAGACUCGUAAUUAGUUUUGUAAUUAGUCUUAUUUAAUACUUCUAAUUAGUAUCAAACAUCCGAUGUGACAAGUGCUAAACUGGGUAUCCACACCCCCUUAGCCUUUUGACCUUGCGAGGGUUGCAGGGUGCUCGCGGGCUCAUGGCAAGGUCAUGGCCGCGGCGUUGGAGGUGGCAGCAUGCGGCAAGGCGAUGGACGGCGACGAGGUUGUGGCACACGACGAGCGCAUGCACCGGUGUAGCAGAGCAGCAUGCGGCGGAGCACCUGCAAGAAACCCCCAGCACGAAGGCAGGGUUACAGAGCAGUGCGGCGGGGCGAUGUGCGGCAAAGCGGUAGCGGCGGUGCCACGGAUAUGGGGGCUCCUACAAGAAAAGCGGCUCGAAGGCCGGGCAUCUUGGAUGGGGACGGUGCAGCCAUAGAGGGUUCGGCCGGCAGCAAGAAGGGAGAGGGAAAAGGCACGACUUGUGCACGCAGCUCACCUCUCACACAAAACAUCGAGCAGGUUGUAGGCCAGGUAGAAGGCAGGGGCACGACGGGCUGUGAACGGGGUCGUGGCCGUGGUUCGCUGUAAUGGCGUGGCUCGGCUACGGCGGCGAUGUCCUCCGACGCGCGGUCGUCAUCGACGUUGGGCGGCAAGCUCGGCUCGGUGUCGCAUCAAUGUCGUCCCCUUCCUUCGGCUCGGCCCCUCAUCCUCGCAGUCGUCGACGUUGGCGUCGCAGCGCUGGUCCGCUCCUCCUGGCUCCGGCGCCUGGCGCGGUGCGGCGCGGCCAUCGUCGAGCUCCUCCAGCUUGCGCUCGUCGUCGAGGUCGUCGUCCGCGGCAACAUCCUCAGCUCGGCGUCGGUGCGGCAGCAGUCCGGCCGGCGUGGCUGCAGCUCGAGGUGGACGGCGGCGCGGCCAACGAGCAGCGCGCGCGGCCGGGUCUUCUCCUCGGCGGUGCUCCUCCUUUCUCCUCCUCACGGCCGUCGGCGGCAUCUCCUCCCGGUAGGCGGCGCUGCGAGCGCCCUCUCCUUCUCCCUCCCUCCGAACUCCUGGCCUCCUCUCGUCUUUCUUGUGUGGCGGCGCAAACAGGGAAAACCCCCGAGGCUUGGGGUUCAAGGGUGUGGCGCUGGGUCUUUUAUGGGGCUAGGGUUCGAUGGCGAGCUCCAGGGCGCGGACGGCCGGUGAUCUUCGGCGGGCGUGAGCCGUGCUGUGGUGUGGGGAGCUCGCGGCCUGGCGAGGGAGCAGGUAGGAGCGGGUGUCGACAUCCCGUUGCGGAACGGGGCGCCCUCGCCGAUCCGUUUUGCGUCACGGCGUCAUGGAAAAAGGAACGGGGAGCGAGAGAGCGGCGCGGCGCAGAGGAAAAAGCAGAGGAGCGGCGGCGUCCGCGUGAAGAAGACGCGAGGAGGAGCUGGCGUGUCCGUGCUGGCCAGCGCAGCAGGCCAAACUGGGCCGGUUGAGUUGGUUUGGGCCGGUUGUGCUGGGCUUGCAACUGGCUAGCAGGCCGAGCUGCUGGGUUGGGCUCGCGUGUUAUGGAGAGGAGGUGGUGAAGUUGGGGCCUGCUCUGCUUACGUGAAGAGAAAAGAAAGAGCAAAAGAAGUUUGGGAUGCUAAACAAAAUUAGGUCCAACGCAAGCUAGAUUGGUCUAUGAUUGGCUUCAAGAGCAGCUGCUGGACCUUCACGUGAAAAGAAGAGAGAGAGAAGCAAGAAAAAGAAAGGAGGCAAGCUGGGCCGUGUUGGUUGGUCUGGGCGCUAAACGUGUUUAGCAAAUUUAGUUGGUUAAGGUCCAGGAUAACUAGUAGGUAGGGACAAGAAGAA